rnacentral:rRNA from 1 species
UACGUAGGGCGCAAGCGUUUGUCCGGAAUUAUUGGGCGUAAAGAGCUCGUAGGCGGCCUGUUGCGUCCGCUGUGAAAUCCCGGGGGCUCAACCCCCGGGCCUGCAGUGGAUACGGGCUGGCUAGAGGCAGGCAGGGGGAGAACGGAAUUCCUGGUGUAGCGGUGAAAUGCGCAGAUAUCAGGAGGAACACCGGUGGCGAAGGCGGUUCUCUGGGCCUGUACUGACGCUGAGGAGCGAAAGCGUGGGGAGCGAACAGG